rnacentral:tRNA from 1 species
GUGGGUAUAGUGAAAUUGGUAUCACAUCUAUUUCCGGUUUAGAUAUCGUAAGUUCGAUUCUUGCUACCUACA